UAGUACUGGCAUAUGGACAUUGGUAUGCAUUGAAACCCCAGUGUUCAUAUUCCAGUACAGCC
rnacentral:pre_miRNA from 1 species